rnacentral:rRNA from 1 species
UACGGAGGGUGCGAGCGUUGUCCGGAUUUAUUGGGUUUAAAGGGUGCGUAGGUGGGUUAAUAAGUCAGUGGUGAAAUACGGUUGCUCAACAAUCGAGGUGCCAUUGAUACUGUUAAUCUUGAAACAAGUGGAGGUUGCCGGAAUGGAUGGUGUAGCGGUGAAAAUGCAUAGAUAUCAUCCAGAACACCGAUUGCGAAGGCAGGUGACUACGUUUGAUUUGACACUGAGGCACGAAAGCAUGGGGAGCAAACAGG